rnacentral:misc_RNA from 1 species
GGGACUCUUGCUCCUUUUAACCGCCGGAAGUCUCUAUCUGUUCGAUGCUCUGCCGGUGGCGUUGAGUCGGCUUCCGGUUCAGCCUCCAUGGAAUCCGAUUUUGAUGCUAAAGUUUUUAGGCAUAACUUGACACGAAGCAAGAAUUAUAAUCGGAGAGGUUUUGGACAUAAGGAAGAGACUCUAGAGCUCAUGAGUCAAGAGUAUACCAGUGAUAUCAUCAAGACUUUGAAGGAAAAUGGGAAUCAAUACACUUGGGGAAAUGUUACCGUUGAAUUGGCAGAAGCUUAUGGGUUUUGCUGGGGGGUUGAGCGGGCUGUCCAGAUUGCUUAUGAAGCCCGGAAACAGUUUCCUGACGAGAAGAUUUGGAUUACCAAUGAGAUUAUUCACAACCCAACUGUUAAUAAGCGUUUGGAAGAGAUGAAUGUUCAAAAUAUUCCUGUUGAUGAAGGGAAGAAACACUUUGAAGUUGUGGACAGUGG